rnacentral:lncRNA from 1 species
GUGAAGAAGAAACAUUCAACUAUUAUAGAAGCAAGACAUGGGCUCAGUAUCGGUUUGAGAUUAUAAGGUAGAAUUGGUUUCAGUGCGUUCAUAAGACCACAAAAGAUAACCACCUGACAUGAAAAUCGACACAAAAAACGCAGCCACUCGACAUGGAAGUUUGAUACCACAAGCGUAACAAAGGAGAGACAACUACAAAGCCAGAACUACUAAGCAUACUAAUAAGUGGCUUCACUCAACUGCCUUGUCGAUCAACUUCAUAGGCGCCACUUCAUACUAAUAAGUGACUCCACUCAACUGCCUUGUCGAUGAUCUUCAUAAGCACCACUUCACAUGAACCUGUGCAUGUCCCAACAAUGUGGUCAAGAAGGUAAUAAUCAAAUGAUAUGAUGCAUUAGUAGGAAACAUGGUUUAGCAUACAUAUUCAAUAGGACAAUGAUUUUUUCUGGUUUAAGAGAAAGAAGAAACAUCAAAUUGGUCCAACGUGUAAGAUUUCACUAUACUGUAAAUCAUUUGGUACAUCGGAAAUUACAGUACUUGUUCGGAACUAAUGAGUGUAUUAGUAUCUAUAGAAUAAUUGAUCUGCAAGCUCAUGAAAAAGAAGAUACAUUUAAUUUGUUCCAAAAGCAAGGCAGGACAAUUAAUCCACGUCCAGUUCAGCCAAAAGAGUUUAGUUAUACGACACUGAAAGCAGGCCAGUGGCAAUGUCAAAUAGAAAAAACUGGAUCACAUCAAGUUAAUAACAAAGCAUAAGAAUUCAAGAUACCAAAAGCUUCAAUGUUAAUCUCCAUGUUCCAGAACCACGCAUCGUCGACAACAUAAUAUAACUAAACAUAAAUACUUUACACAUAGACCAUUUCACUAUUUGUAGGAGAUAAACAGAACAUACGGGUAUAUGUUAGGACAUUUAGUACCAUGACUACAUAGAAGAUUUAUGUACAAAACAAAACUGAAAUUCUUCCAGCCCCACGUCAAACAUUCAGUCAUAAAAUAUAUUCUUUAUCAGGUUUUCAGUAUCACAAUGGGUUAAAAAUCACAUUGUCAAUGUAAAGAUACUAUGUGCCUUUCUUUUGCUUCAUUUGAUCUGAAUAUCUCUAUGAAUACUCACAGUUCAUAACAAUCUCCAGCCAUAAAAGUGAAAGAUUUCAGUUCUCAUCCAAACCACUUCAUUAAUAACUCAAUGCAUCAAUUUUCUCUUUACUUUGACGCAUUAACAAAAUGAUGACAUGCAUGAGCUGAAGUACUGAAACCUUUAUAGCUAGGGGGCUAAUUUGGCAACAGACUGGACUGGAAGCUAGGUGUCAAGCUGGCCCGAGACCCCGUUCAGCUCUAUCACAGUGGCAACCUGCAAGCCAAGAUGAUGGGAGGAGCUGCAGUCCAGGAAACAGCCUCUCUCUCUCUCUCUCUCUCUCUCUCUCUCUCUCUACUUGCGCCGCUGCUCUAAGCCAAGAAAUAAUUGAACCUAGCAAGAUACCUGUUGCAGGAUAAGAGAAGCUAAUGAUGCAUGUGAGGCUGCAGAUUGUCACACUCACCUACAAUAAACUCCAUUCAAAUCCUUUGAAGCAUCCAAUUUCUGCAUAAACCAAAGAGGAAAAUUGCCAAAUUAGCUCACCCGCCCACCAAAAAGGAUAUAAUGUAAUCUCUUUGUUGCUGAAAUUUCAAGCGGAACAAAAAAACUAAGAGAUGCUAUUAUUACUUUAAGAGAUAACAACAUUUUUCAUUAUUAUUUGAACAGG